rnacentral:rRNA from 1 species
GAUGAACGCUGGCGGCGUGCCUAAUACAUGCAAGUCGAGCGAACAGACGAGGAGCUUGCUCCUCUGACGUUAGCGGCGGACGGGUGAGUAAUACGUGGAUAACCUACCUAUAAGACUGGGAUAACUUCGGGAAACCGGAGCUAAUACCGGAUAAUAUAUUGAACCGCAUGGUUCAAUAGUGAAAGACGGUUUUGCUGUCACUUAUAGAUGGAUCCGCGCCGCAUUAGCUAGUUGGUAAGGUAACGGCUUACCAAGGCAACGAUGCGUAGCCGACCUGAGAGGGUGGUCGGCCACACUGGAACUGAGACACGGUCCAGACUCCUACGGGAGGCAGCAGUAGGGAAUCUUCCGCAAUGGGCGAAAGCCUGACGGAGCAACGCCGCGUGAGUGAUGAAGGUCUUCGGAUCGUAAAACUCUGUUAUUAGGGAAGAACAAAUGUGUAAGUAACUAUGCACGUCUUGACGGUACCUAAUCAGAAAGCCACGGCUAACUACGUG